rnacentral:sRNA from 1 species
GUUUCCACUCAUCGGGGAAGGGUGAGAACCUUCGACUAAGGUUCGAUUCGAGCGAAAGCGAGAGAACGUUGCCACAGGCAACGGCCCGAAGGGUGAGGAGCGAAGCGACGAAUAAUCCUUCCCCCACCACCA